AGAGUUUGAUCCUGGCUCAGGAUGAACGCUAGCGGCAGGCCUAAUACAUGCAAGUCGGACGGGAUAGAAGAGCUUGCUUUUCUUGAGAGUGGCGCACGGGUGCGUAACACGGUAUGUAACCUACCUUUAUCAGGGGGAUAGCCUCUCGAAAGAGAGAUUAAGCCCGCAUAAUAUGAAGAUACAGCAUUGUAAUUUCAUCAAAUAUUUAUAGGAUAAAGAUGGGCAUGCGGAACAUUAGCUAGUUGGUAAGGUAAUGGCUUACCAAGGCUACGAUGUUUAGGGGAUCUGAGAGGAUGACCCCCCACACUGGUACUGAGACACGGACCAGACUCCUACGGGAGGCAGCAGUAAGGAAUAUUGGUCAAUGGGCGGAAGCCUGAACCAGCCAUGCCGCGUGCAGGAAGACGGCCCUACGGGUUGUAAACUGCUUUUGUACCGGAAUAAACCCUGAUUCGUGAAUCAAGCUGAAUGUACGGUAAGAAUAAGGAUCGGCUAACUCCGUGCCAGCAGCCGCGGUAAUACGGAGGAUCCAAGCGUUAUCCGGAUUUAUUGGGUUUAAAGGGUGCGUAGGCGGCCUGUUAAGUCAGGGGUGAAAGACGGUAGCUCAACUAUCGCAGUGCCCUCUGAUACUGAUGGGCUUGAAUGUACUAGAGGUAGGCGGAAUGUGACAAGUAGCGGUGAAAUGCAUAGAUAUGUCACAGAACACCAAUUGCGAAGGCAGCUUACUAUGGUAUUAUUGACGCUGAGGCACGAAGCGUGGGU
rnacentral:rRNA from 1 species